rnacentral:rRNA from 1 species
GUGGGGAAUCUUGCGCAAUGGGCGAAAGCCUGACGCAGCCAUGCCGCGUGAAUGAUGAAGGUCUUAGGAUUGUAAAAUUCUUUCACCGGGGACGAUAAUGACGGUACCCGGAGAAGAAGCUCCGGCUAACUUCGUGCCAGCAGCCGCGGUAAUACGAAGGGGGCUAGCGUUGCUCGGAAUUACUGGGCGUAAAGGGCGCGUAGGCGGACAGCUUAGCCAGAGCUGAAAGCCCAGGACUCAACCUUGGAAUUGCCUUUGAUACUGGCUGUCUUGAGUUUGGGAGAGGUGAGUGGAACUCCGAGUGUAGAGGUGAAAUUCGUAGAUAUUCGGAAGAACACCAGUGGCGAAGGCGACUCACUGGCCCAAUACUGACGCUGAGGCGCGAAAGCGUGGGGAGCAAACAGGAUUAGAUACCCGGGUAGUCC